rnacentral:lncRNA from 1 species
GUAAAAGUGAUUUAUUAAAUCAACGUAUGCUAUAUGAUCAAGAGAUUAAAAUAUUUAGAAAUACAGGGGGAAAGUUACAGUCAUGACGAAGAAAUAUAGCGAGACUGAGAUUCAAAUAAUAUCCAGAGAACACCUCUUCCAGUCACUAGCUAGAGACCUCGGGCAGGUUAGCUGACCUUGUGUGCCUCAGUUUCCUUAUCUGUAAAAUGAGGAUUAGAAAGUGGACUACUUCAAAAGUUGUUGUGAGAAUUAAGUGAGUUGGUUUAUGAAAAGUAUCUUUUAAAAGCCCUUGGCGUAACGCGUGUGCUAAGAACACUAUUAUUGUUAUUACUACACUGAAAACACAAACUUCUCAAGAUUAGAAAAAAAAAUCCAAAGGGAAAGCAUUAGGAUGCUGGAAUGAGAAUAAAACUGAGAUUUGAAAAAAUAAUAUAUAUAUAGUAAGAUUGGUGCAAAAGUAAUCGCAGCUUUUGCCAUUACUUUUAAUGGCAAGAAUCGCGAUUACUUUUGCACCAACCUAAUAAGUAGGGCCCACUUAGUCCGCUGCCAAUUCCAGAUGAGAAAGCGGAAAUAGCCAGCAGCCGCCUGUGUAUGUGACUUGUGGAGCUCCAUGAAGUCUGCUCUGCUCCUCACAGUUCUCAGCCCCGCAGGAGAACCACAGUGUCUGCCAUUCGAGGUUCCACUAUCUGGGAAUGAUUGCCUCAAGUGCUGGAGAAUAAGAGCAGAAUAAGGCAAGUCACUGUCCUUGGACACCUAAUGAUGAACGAAUCAGCUAUUUAAACAGAUAGCUCAGAUACACCACAGGAACUACCAGCAUUUUCUGUUUAAUUUAUUUACCCCCCCCCCCCAAGAAAAGCCAAGCUCCAGCUGUAGAGCUGGCACCGUUCAUGCUUUACUCUCCCUACUCAAAGGACACAGUCAAGAGGUGGUGCCAGCGACCUAGCGAGGAACAGCAGGGCCUGAACUAGGGAAGUGGUAUCAGGAAUGAAGAGGAGGAAACAGAUUUAGUUUACAUUCUGGGACUUGAAACUGGCAAGGUUUGGCAACUGAUCGGGAGCAAUUGAUGAGAUAUUGAAAUAAAGGAAAAAUUCUAGAUAACUCUGGAGGAACUUUGCCAAGUGACAUGGAUCUACAGGGCACAAACAUAUCAGACAUGUUUUUAAAAGUCCAAGCUUAUUUUUAGAAUCCCUCACACAUCAGCGACUGCUAGUUUCCUACCCAAAGUCUACUAAACCAUAUUCUUAACUAAUAAAACCUGUAAAUUUCUAGGUGCAGAAAAAAAAUGUCUGGCUUUCCUUCCUGAUGGGGUGGCCAGUGAAAUGUCAGCAAAUGCAUUGGAUGAGAUUGCUGGAAAACAUCUUUGCUCCUGUCCCUUCUUUCUUAAAUAGAACAUGGGCAGGAUAGCUGGAGGCUCAGCAGCCUUGUCUGUGGACCUGAGGUGACCUUAAGGAAAAGCACUAAUAAGGAUGGAGAAAUUAAAAACAAAAACAGCCUGUGACAUAGAAGGCAUCACAGCACCACCACACUGGCCCUCGGCUACUUACAUUUAGGUUGGUGCAAAGGUAAUCACGCUUUUUGUCAUUAAUUUCAACAGCAAAAACCAAUAUUACCUCCAGUCAGCGAGGGUGGUCCCAGUGUGUCCGAAAUUGGUGGGUUCUUGGUCUCACAGCCUUCAAGAAUGAAGCCGCAGACCCUCACAGUGAGUGUUACAGUUCUUAAAGGUGGCAUGUCCUGAGUUUGUUCCUUCUGACGUUCCAGCCUGUUCAGAGUUUCUUCCUUCUGGUGGGUUCGUGGUCUCGCUGGCUCAAAAGUGAAGCUGCAGAUCUUCGGGUGUUAACAGCUCUUAAGUUGGGGCGUCUGGAGUUGUUUGUUCUUCCCAGUGGGUUCUUUGUCUCGCUGGCUUCAGGACUGAACCUGUAAAUCUUCACCAUGAGUGUUACAGCUCAUAAAUGCAGUGUAAACCCAAAGAGUGGGCAGUAGCAAGAUUUAUUGCAAAGAGCUAAAGAACAAAACUUACACUGUGGCAGGCCACUCUAGCAACUUGCUAGUGCUAGCGCGGAGCAGCCUGCUUUUAUUCUCUUAUCUGGCCCCACCCACAUCCUGCUGAUUGGUCCAUUUUACAGAGAGCCGAUUGGUCUGUUUUACAGAGAGCUGAUUGGUCCAUUUUGACAGAGUGCUGAUUGGUGCGUUUACAAUCCCUGAGUUCGACACAAAAGUUCUCCACGGCCCCACUAAAUUAGCUAGAAACAGAGUGUCGAUUGGUGCAUUCACAAACCCUGAGCUAGACACAGGGUGCUGAUUGGUGUGUUUACAAACCUUGAGCUAGAUACAGAGUGCUGAUUGGUGCAUUCACAAUCCCCCAGCUAGACAUAAAGAUUCUCCAAGUCCCCACCAGACUCAGGAGUCCAGCUGGCUUCAUCCAGUGGAUCUCACACCGGGGCCGCAGGUGGAGCUGCCUGCCACUCCGUCGCCGUGCGCUGGCACUCCUCAGACCUUGGGCAGUGGAUGGGAUCGGGCGCCGUGGAACAUGGGGCAGCGCUCGUCGGGGAGACUCAGGCCCGGCAGGAGCAUCUGGCAGUGCGGAGGGAGACUCAGGCAUGGCAGGCUGCAGGUCCCCAGCCCUGCCCGAGGGGAGGCAGCUAAGGCACGGCAAGAAAUCCAGCACAGAGCCGGUGGGCCGGCACUGCUGGGGGACCCGGCACACCCUCCGCAGCUGCUGGCCCGGGUAGUAAGCUCCUCACUGCCCGGGACUUGCGAGCCGGCCUGCGGCUCCCAGUGUGAGGCCCGCUGAGCCCACGCCCACCCGGAACUCGUGCUGGCCCGCAGGCACCCGCGAAGCCCUGGUUCCCGCCCAUGCCUCUCCCUCCACACCUCCCUGCAAGCUGAGGGAGCUGGCUCCGGUCUCGGCCAGCCCAGCAAGGGGCUCCCACAGUGCGGCGGCGGGCUGGAGGGCUCCUCAAGUGCCGUCAAAGUGGGAGCCCAGGCAGAGGAGGCGCCGAGAGCGAGCGUGGGCUGCGAGGGCUACCAGCACACUGUCAACUCUCACCACGGCCAUCCCUCUUUCCAAUCAAGCCGACCUGGAAAACAGAAACUCAAAGCAAAGAGCUCAUCCUACUUCCUCUUUACCCUCCUGUCUGUCACCUUGCUGAAGAAUCUCACUCAUGUGCACAUCAGUUUCAAGUUCUGUCUCUAUUCUCUGCAUGGCCACGGAGAAGCCACCAGCUGAUACCAGAGCGGCAAAGGGUUGUGUGGGAGAUGAGGAAUUCCGCCUGGAAGAGGCUGAGUGUAAGUGGACUUGAGGAGAACCAGGGGACGAUGCCCACACUGGAGCUGGAGGGGCCUGGAGCUCGGGAGAAGGGCGCUGGCUGGAGGUUAGGUGGGGGUUUGGGACCAUGAACGCGGGUGGGUCGCUCGGGAGAACACGUGGAGGAACGAGAGCAGCGGGGGGUGAAAGAGCCCUGGGGCGCCGGCCUCCCGCAUGCUGUGGAGGACCCCUAAGGAUGGCAGAGAAUGCCCAGCGCCGCCCAUGAAUGAGAACGAGGGAAAAACGCCUCACGUAGAGCCGGGCGUCGGGAUUGUCCAAACGGAGAGGUCCCCUUAGCGAAGUGCGCCUCGGCUUAGUUUAGACGCGCGCUGUCCUGCCAGAGGGCUGCGAUGAGACGUGGGCACCGGGGCUGCUCUGGAGCGCCCCUGACGGCACGGCCGGGGAAGUGAGGAGCCACAGGCAGCGGAGGGCAGGAAGGCGGGAGGAGUGGCAGGAAGGCGGGAGGAGUGGCAGGAAGGCGGGAGGAGUGGCAGGAAGGCGGGAGGAGUGGCAGGAAGGCGAGGGACAGCCUCCGCUUCCAGCGUCCCCCAGAACGCGGAGAGGCAGCCUGAGUCUUACUCUCCCACCACAUCAAUUCCCAGCACCGUGGGCCCCGGGGCCACUUUAUUUUUUGUAUUUUUUUGAGAUGGGGUGUCUCUGUCGCCCAGGCUGGAGUCCGGUGGUGCGAUCUCGGCUCACUGCAACCUCCGCCUCCCGGGUUCACACCAUUCUCCUGCCUCAGCCUCCGGAGUAGCUGGGGUUACAGGCCCCCAGUCCACUUUCUUGGAGUCUGCUGUGUCUGACCAAAAAGCCCAUCUUCGCCACAUCUAAAGCUGGAAGUUCAUUUGCCAGCGUUGUUUAGAGCAAAAAGGAAACGUGAUGAUGACGAGUUUUC